ensembl:lncRNA
CUAUUCAACCCUCUAAUCCAACCCGUCAAGCUGCUUUGAUUUCGACUUCAAGAAUUACUACUACGACUGAAAAUACACAACGCAGAGUCUGUCCGAACAGUUUAGAAAUAAGCUGAAAUCUAACAUUUGGUGCCGUGAAACCGUCUUGAAGAGAGAGGAGUGAGAAGACGAUUGCCUCUGAAGAUUGCCCUGUGACCGAGAAGAGCGCGCGCCCUGCCUGGGAAGACGUCUGAUCAACGCCUGCCCUGCUGAGGGACCCGCAUCCACAACGCGGCUGAACCAGCGCAUCUCCAUGCACCACGUGGGAAUCAACGCAUCAAUGCACCACAAUGAAAAUGCAUCACAGGAGCAAGCUACGACUUCUGCAGGGCAGGCGAAGAGUGGGGAAGGUGGUGUGAAGGCCGAGAAAACAGAUCCAACAUUCAACUAUGUACAUGACCUCAUUAGGCUGCUCAUGGAGGUUUUUGAGGACCCAACAUCAUUUGAAGAGGAAAUGAAGACUAUCCCCAUCCCUCCAGACCUUUCAGCGGAAUAUACACACCCUCCCAAGGCUGAGCUGGUUGCCCCUCACGUCUCCCGCUUCAAUCAAGAGGUGGUCUGAAGCCUACGAAGUCACCAGAUGGGAACUGCUGCCAUAUCCGCUGCACCACACAUGACGGGAUGACGACCCGACAACUAUGUCCUAAAUAUCCCCAACACCAGCUUUCAAAGCUGCGAUAGGCAAGAUGCCUGAUACGCCUAAGGGAGAAGGAGCGGAACUUUCUGUUAAACUGUUUUCAACAAUAACCUCUUAUAGGCUGGGCCUAUAUCCUACUGGGCCUUACUGUGCAGCCCCCACCUCCAAACGAAACCAACUCUUUUUGAAUGGUCUGACCAUGCUCAACAUAAAAAAAUAGUUGGCUUCGUUAGGAGGUGAGGGUGCACGGUAAGGCCCCGUAGUUUGCGGCCUUAUAGUUUGUUUUUCUUUUAAUGGUAAAUUGAUUCAAAUCACAUAAUAAUAUUAAUAGUAUAAUAUUGCUUUGGUUUUGUUUAGUGGGAGCUUACAGCCAAAAUGACUUACUUUUCAUCUGUUGUGUGCCUCACAGGUCCAUAAUCAUACUUGUAGAUAUAGUAGAUAUUUUGUAGACUGUAUGUGUUUGUGUGCAUGUUGUGUCAUGCAGGUUGUGUCAUGCAGGUUAUUGAUUCUGGCACUUGGCUCAUUCAUCUUAGUACCUAAUAAAUACAAUAAGACAAAAUAACUACUGUGUAAAGUGACCUUGAAAUCACUGAGUAAAACAUGACUGCAUAGGACAAUACAGAUUCAGG